rnacentral:lncRNA from 1 species
GCCAUUUUGAUCUAAACCACUCUUAAAUUUCUGUUGCUACCUGUACAUCUGACUUAUCCCUUCUUCUAGACUGCAAACUCUUAGAAACCAAAUAUCAAGUAAUCUUAUACUUGAAAUUUGUUUUUAUUUUAUACUAAAUCAGAGUGAUGACUUAGGCUUUAUUUUGUAUAUCUUCCAGACACCCAUCAUCACCCCCCAAGUCUCCUGUCCUUUCUCCAUGCUGCCUUCUGACCCAGGUGACUAAUCUGGAUGGGCCACUGCAGCAAUUCUCAAAGUGUAGUCCCCAGACCCCUGGGUUUCCUCGAGACUUUUUCAGGAGAGUUCCCUGGACCCCUGAAAGCACUGAGUUCUGAUUUCUGAACUGAUCGACACUUGACUUUUACAAGAACCAAUGCCCUUCAAGCCUUGAUCAAGGACCACUGAAAGCACGUGAAGAAUCCUUGGAACUGUCUUGGGAAACCCUGACAAAUCCCCUGUGAGGACAGGUAUGGCCCUGAUUAAAAAAAAAAAUACUCUGAUGCCUCCAUAUGAUGGUUUCAUGAGGCCACUGGGCUCCUAAGCUUCACAGUUAUAAACAAGCUAUUUUGAAACAAUGGCUUAAAUUGUGUUAUUGGCCAGAAUUGCAUGAUUAUUCAAAUUCAGUGGGUUUACCUGGGUUAUAAGAUAAUUAGUAUUUUAUGAGUAUUAACCUGCUAGAAUAAUUUAAAAUUUUAAAGCACUUGAAUGUUAUUGGUUGAAACAAGUGGGAAUUUGAAAUUGUCAGAACCCCUACCUCCAAGAAAAAAUUUGACCCUAAGGAAAAAGUUAUCCAUCAGUAAGUGAAAGCCUCCAUCAACGAGC